UGCUUGAAUACAUGCUGUCCAUUCAGCUGAGUAUCAGGGAUGUGAUAAUAACAGAUGAAAGCAAAAAAAGGUUACCAUAACUGAAAUAGGUGUAGCAACACAUGAAUGUCUUCCCUCUGAGAAAUGCACUGUACCAUUUUAUCAUCUGGUGCAAUAAGAUGCCAUCAUACAGUGAGAUCAUCCUUCUGAUCCUGUCCAGCCUGGAGUGGCCUGACAGUGCUGCUGACCUGCUGUGUGAAUGGGGAGACUCUGUGCUUAAUUCAGUGCUUCACCGGUCCUGGCUAGAUGUCACCAACAGCUGUGGAUUACAUGACACGUCCAGAAUAUGAUGAGGAAGAGUUUUAUUUCUUCAAGUUUUGUAUGUUAUAGGUAGAGAGAAACUAAAAAAAAAAAAAAGCUUUAAAUUCUCCUUAGAGACUUAUCUCAGAAUUGUUCUGUAUUUUACAGGAAGUCUAUCAGAUCCCUUUCACAGUUCUCAUCACCUUUGUUAUGCUCCUGAAACACUGCUCCAUUCCUCCCUUCCAAAUGUCUUCCUCCAUCUUCAGGUUAUUGCAGGGUGGCUACUGCAUAUUUUGUUGUGUGACUAAAUGCAGAUCCCUUCAAAGAUUAUCAAUGUUCCUCAGGCUGCUGGAAGGGACACUAAUGAGCAAUCUGUAUUUUUUUCCCUUGCCUCCUUUUUGUAAUCCUGUAUGAAGCAUGUUCACACCAUGCACCUCAUGCAGGAAUACAUUAUUUAGUACACAGAUAACUUGGUUAUCUGUGGAGCUUUGUGCUUCUUGUUCUGAGUGAGCCCCACUAUACAUCUUUCUGAGGUUUAUACUCAUGCUUGUUCCUUUAAAAUCUUCCCUGUCUAGACUCUUGACUCUUGAGCUAGACUCUGAUUGGGAACUGAAUGUAGCUAGAAUUCAGAUAAUUAGAUUUUUUACCUUUCCCCCCACCUGCUAUUUUUUUUUUUUGGGGGGGGGGAGGCAUGUUUCAGGAAAAAUGAAAGCCAAAAAUUAGAUCUAUAUUUAAGUAUUGUCACAGUAAGAAAAGUAGAAGAAAUCAUUAACCAUGGAAAAGAUCCGCACUGGCUGAAAUGUAUGGUGUUACGUGUGCUUGUACAGUCAGUACAAAACAGUGGUGCAUUGUCUUUGUUUCACGUUUGUUCGAACAGAAAAGCUGGAUUAUAAUGCUGAGAUAACAAUUGAUAUCCAAAUAAAUUGUUACUGAACCUUCA
rnacentral:lncRNA from 1 species